AAAGGGUGGUCCAAGUCUCUGUA
rnacentral:siRNA from 1 species